rnacentral:tRNA from 1 species
CAUUUAUGUAGUCUAAUAAAGACAGUAAGUUGUAAACUUAAAGAUGUGAGAGCCUAGAUGA